UAGUCAUGUUGUGGGCAACAACGUAAUAAGUCUUUGAAUCGCUCCCAUGCUUCAUAAAGUUGCUUUGAAUCAAGUUGUCUGAAUUGCUCAAUCUCACUUCUCAACUG